CUGUUUCAAUAGCAAACAUGGCGGCAAAUUCACAGUCAUAACUCAUAAACUCUAUUCUUUCCUCCAAGACUUCGACCUAGUGUUCUUGAAAUUCAAAUUUGCAGCCCUGUUUCUUUGCUGCUGUUGAUUUUUGAAUUAGGGUUUGUUUAUCGGUUAAAUAGAUCUAAUUGUAUUGAACCCGCCGCAAAAUGACAGCAGACGCAUUAUCUUCGGUUUGUUAUUUGGGAGUUUUAGACUCUCUCUCCGAAGCUUCAAUUGCUGAGAUCUUGGAGAGCUGGAACAGCUUAUGUUUGGUAACAGAAGUGAUCGUCAUAGGUGAUGAUGCUGACUUAUCGUCAUCUUAUUCGAAGUUCCAAUCGUAUGUCUCCCGUCUAUGCAAGCAUGGUCUUCGAUCUUUAGUGGAAGAACACUUCCUAAUAUCCCUCUAGAUGGAAGAGGAUGAGGUUGAAUUACUACUGUGUAAAGCUUUGGAAGAAAUAUCACUGGAGAAACAAUACCAAGAAAAGUAUUUAUUGAUGUUGGUCAAGUCUUUACAGCUAUGCCAAGAGAGCACAUCAAUGGAAGGACACUCCUCAGAUGUGAAAAAGUUCUUAUUUUCUAAAUAUCAGUUAAUUGUCUAUUCUGUUCUUAUGACCACUUUGCCACGACAAUUUCCAGAUUUAGCCAGAGGAUGAGGAUGCUAAGUUUAUAGAACCUUGGUGCACUCAUACUAAGUCUGAACAAAACUGAGGAACAUUGGAAUGGUUGUUCAUAAUCUCAGAAGUCUUGGAUUUACUUCCAUGGUUGAAGAUGCCUAUGCUUCUGCAAUAUUUUUGCUUUUGAAGGCGAAGAUGUAACGGUCCUGAUGAAGUUAUUUAUUCAUGGGCGUACACGGUAUCAACCUAAGGCGGCUUUUUUGGUCGAUUUCGUACAUAUCUUAAUAUCUUUGCAUGUUGUACAUUUAAUGCUCUUAAAGCAGCAGGUUGUUACAGUUUACAUCUUAUCUGUUCAUGUGGGAGAGGUUGUUACAGUCUACAUCUUAUCUAUUCAUGUGGUAUUGUUACAGUUUACAUAUUAUCUUCUUAUAUGAGAUAGAU